rnacentral:rRNA from 1 species
GACGAACGCUGGCGGCGUGCUUAACACAUGCAAGUCGAACGGAAAGGCCUCAGCUUGCUGGGGUACUCGAGUGGCGAACGGGUGAGUAACACGUGGGUGAUCUGCCUUGCACUCUGGGAUAAGCUUGGGAAACUGGGUCUAAUACCGGAUAUGAACUGCCUUUAGUGUGGUGGUUGGAAAGUUUUUUCGGUGCAAGAUGAGCUCGCGGCCUAUCCGCUUGUUGGUGGGGUAAUGGCCUACCAAGGCGUCGACGGGUAGCCGGCCGGAGAGGGUGUACGGCCAACUUGGGACUGAGAGACGGCCCAGGCUCCUACGGGAGGGAGCAGUGGGGAAGAUUGCACAAGGGGCGGAAGCCUGAUGCAGCGACGCCGCGUGGGGGAUGACGGCCUUCGGGUUGUAAACUCCUUUCGACAGGGACGAAGCUUUUUGUGACGGUACCUGGAUAAGAAGCACCGGCUAACUACGUG